rfam:Populus trichocarpa scaffold_3_contig_160, whole genome shotgun sequence.
UCUAGAACUCGAGAUAUGGGCUGAACACUGAACAGUGUCUGGGCUGCAGGACAAAUUCCGACUUCUCCGUUGUUGCUAAGAUUUGGACUUCCAAACAGCAGAAUUGAGUCUUUCACUCUGUAUGAAUGUUUUAGGCCUAUGUCUUAGCUUUCUAGC